AAGGCCUUCACUCGUUGGCAUACUAGGCAUCUCUCAACAAGUGUAGCUAUAUCUUUCCAUCGGAAUUCUUCUUUCAAGUCUUUGUACAUUUUAUGCUUCCUGGGUGGCCAGUAUAUGGCGUGUCAUGAGCUUCGCUCAUUAUCUCAUCUCUGAAUUGUUCAUCGUGUGAACACACACAAUCUUUGAUCAACAUUAACGCAUUAUCCACGUCUCAUGAUACGUCUCCUGAUCUUAUUGCUAAACAUAUUUUCUCCAAGGUCUCAUUUCUUUUUUUUUUUUUUUUUUUUUGCGUCUAUUAUCAGCUUUCCUAUAAAGUUGGGUGUUAUUACCAUCGUGGCAAUAAUCCCUUCUACAGAUUCUAGUGGUUGAACCACUUCUAAAUUCAUUCUACUAAAAUCUUUCAUGGGUUCCUCUUCCUGAGUGAGGGUCAUUGGUCUUGCUAUUUUGGAAAAUCCUUCUAUGAAUCUCUGAUAGCAACUUGCUAGUUCCAAGAAACUUUUGAUCUCAUUGGGGUUAGUAGGCGAUCUCCACUCAUGUACAACUUGUACUUCCUCAGGGUGCACUUUGAUCCUUUCUAAUGAGAUAAUAUGUCCCGAAAACGUGAUUUUGUUGAGCCAAAAUUCGCACUUGCAGAACUUAGCAUAAAGAUGCUUUGUUUUCAACAUUUUUAAGACUAUUCUCAGGUGUUUCUCAUGGUCCUUCUCGUUCCUCGAGUAGAUCAAGACAUCAUCUACGAAAACUAAGACAACUUGCCUAAGUAUGGGUGGAACACUCGGUUCAUGAGGUCCACAAACAUGGCUGGUGCAUUGGUCAAUCCAAAUGACACCACUACGAACUCAUAGAGUCUAUAUCUGGUUCGGAAGACCACCUUGGGUACAUCUUCUCAUUGAAUCUAUAGUUGAUGGUACCUAGACCUUAAAUCUAGCUUUGAGGACACACUCACUACUCUGAGUUGCUUGAAGAAGUCGUCUAUCCUCGUUAGAGGAUACCUGUCCUUGAGUGUCACCUUGUUCAACUCUCUAUAAGUUGAUGUGUAUCCUCGGUAGAGGAUACACAUUCUCAAUGUGCCAUCUUUAUUCUUUUACAAAAAGAACGGGUGCACCCCAGUGAAAUCUCCAGGAAACAUUUGGAAAUUCACGUACGAUUGUCACGUCUCCUAUACUUUUCUCGGUUUUUAGUUUCUGUGCAACUACACAAGGUAGGGUGGACACCAUUUUCUUAUCAUCUUUGUUGCUUGAGGGGCGGAGAUGAUCGUCUUUCUCCUACCCAUGCUGAUCCCAUGAAAACGUGUCAGUUUCUUCCCCAUGGUCGAAAAGAAAUUUGACUUUCAUUGCAAAUGAUGGUGGCAUAGUUCUCAACUAUCCAUUCCAUUCCUAAAAUUAUGUAUAUGUCUCUCAUCGGCAUAACAUACGAGUUGUUCACUCCAAUUUGAA
rnacentral:lncRNA from 1 species